AACAUGUAAACUCACUGAGCAGGGCCUCAAUCCCUCUGUUACUGUGUCACUAUACCCCACUCCCUCUAACAUGUAAACUCACUGAGCAGGGCCUCAAUCCCUCUGUUACUGUGUCACUAUACCCCGCUCCCUCUAACAUGUAAACUCACUGAGCAGGGCCCUCAAUCCCUCUAUUACUGUGUCACUAUACCCCACUCCGUCUAACAUGUAAACUCACUGAGCAGGGCCCUCAAUCCCU